rnacentral:rRNA from 1 species
CCUACGGGUGGCAGCAGUGGGGAAUAUUGCACAAUGGGGGGAACCCUGAUGCAGCGACGCCGCGUGAGUGAAGAAGUAUUUCGGUACGUAAAGCUCUAUCAGCAGGGAAGAAGAUGACGGUUCCUGACUAAGAAUCCCCGGCUAACUACGUGCCAGCAGCCGCGGUAAUACGUAGGGGGCAAGCGUUAUCUGGAUGUACUGGGUGUAAAGGGAGCGUAGACGGCAGGACAAGUCUGGAGUGAAAGCCCGGGGCCCAACCCCGGGACUGCUUUGGACACUGCCAUGGUAGAGUGCUGGAGAGGUAAGCGGAAUUCCUAGUGGAGCGGUGAAAUGCGUAGAGAUUAGGAGGAACACCAGUGGCGAAGGCGGCUUACUGGACAGUAACUGACGUUGAGGCUCGAAAGCGUGGGGAGCAAACAGGAUGAGAUACCCGGGUAGUC